UGGGAUAUGGCUCAGUGGCACAGUACCUGCCUGGCAAGUGAGAGGUCUUGAGUUCGACUCCCAGUAUCCCCC
rnacentral:tRNA from 1 species